UGAACGCCUCGAAGAUCCUCUUGAAGAAGACGAAGUUGGGGUCGUAGAUCUCGGGCUCCUCGGUCACGUACUCGAUCUCCACGGGGGGGGUGGUUCCGGUCCCGGUUCCGGUUCCGGUUCCGGUUCCGGUUCCGGCCCGCUCCUGCUCCCGCUCCCGGUCCCGGUCCCCGUCGGCCGCUGCCCCCGGCGCUGCCCCCCCGUCCCGCGCCGCCCGCGCCCGCUUCUUCUUCUUGCGGUUACGGCGCUUACGCGUGCGCUGCGGGGACAGCGGCGCUGCUGGGGCACGGCUGUGGGGCACGGCUGUGGGGCACAGCUGUGGGGCACGGCUGUGGGGCACGGCUAUGGGGCACGGCUAUGGGGUGCUGCUGGGGGCAAGGCUAUGGGGCAAGGCCAUGGGCAUAGCUAUGGGGCACCGCUAUGGGGCAAGGCCAUAGGCACGGCUAUGGGGCACAGCUAUGGGGCACGGCUAUGGGGCGCUGCUGGGGGCAAGGCUAUGGGGCACGGCUAUGGGGCACGGCUAUGGGGCACGGUUAUGGAGUGCUGCUGUGGGGCACGGCUAUGGAGCAAGGCUAUGGGGUGCUGCUGGGGGGGAAUGCUGUGGGGUGCUGCUGGGGGCAAGGCUAUGGGGCACGGCUAUGGGGCAAGGCUAUGGGGCACUGCUGUGGGGCACGGCUAUGGGGUGCGGCUGGGGGCGCUGCUGGGGGCAAGGCUAUGGGCCACGGCUAGGGGGUGCUGCUGGGGGCAAGGCUAUGGGGCACGGCUAUGGGGCACGGCUAUGGGGCACGGCCACGGGGCAUGGCCAUGGGGCACGGCUAUGGGGUGCUGCUGGGGGCAAAGUUAUGGGACACUGCUAUGGGGCAAGGCUAUGGGGCACUGCUAUGGGGCACGGCUAUGGGGCACUGCAGUGGGGCAAGGCUAUGGGGCAAGGUAA
rnacentral:lncRNA from 1 species